AAAUUUGUUUUAUUAGUAUACCGCUGACAAGUUGGUCUCCGUUGGAUUAACGCAGCGGCGUUUACAAAAAAUAACUAUUUUAUUUUGUAGAUUUUGUUACAGUACAAGUGGCGAAAUACCCAGCCCAGAAGACUUUUUUGGACCCCUUUUACAAUUCUGAUAUUAAACCAUCAUUCUGAACAUUGGUUUUCCAUAAUCCGAUUAUAAGUACAGAUAUGUAAUAAUACAUGAUACGAGCUUCUUAUGAAGAUAAGAAAGGAGGAUAAACCAAGAAAAAUGGAAAGAAAGAGAUUUUCUUUGGGGAAGAUGUGUGCGUAGAAAUUCAUAAGAUGUGCGUAGAGAUUCAUAAGAAAACCUCACCGAUUGUACUCUGCUUUUCAAUGAAAGUGUGUGCCAAUAAAGAAUAAAGCUGGGGUAACAAGAUUGGAAUCCUUGAGAUGGUUUCUGCUUCUAAUUGUUGCUUUCAAAUCAUUCCUCCAAAUAGGAAAUUAUACUCUCGAACAUUCAAAUCCAUGGACUCUAUGCUGUACCUCCCGAACAUGCUUUUUUCUUUGAUAUAUAGAUAAUUUAAAUCUUAAUGGUGGUUCUACACUGUUAGAAAUGUAUUAUUGUUAUGAAGAGAUGCAGUGCAUAAGAAAUAUUUGCAUGAUACUGGAAAUACGAACAUCCGGUAUACAUCAGAGAGAAAAUCUAUAGAAGAAUCAACGAGCAAUCCAAGGGGUUAUGCUAUAUGGGAUGUAUAAUAUCAUGUUUUUUUUUGUAUCAUGGAAUAAUAUGUUUAACAAUAUUAAUUGUGUUAAUUGUAGGUAUUUAUAAGCUAUUCUUUUUCUAAUAAAUUUUAAUAAAUG